CUCCUUUCCUUCCCCUAACCGCCUCACGUUGUUCUUUGUUUGCUUGUGCCUGGUUGUUGCGCUUGUCUUGGCUAUUCCCACUAUAAUGUAGUAUUUGUUGGAUAUCUAGAGCUGUCAGUUGCGAUGAUGUGCUGCAGGUGAUGUUAACAAUUACAUAGACUGAGAUCCUCUGGGGUCUCUGAUGUCUAAAAAAUCGAGCU